rnacentral:rRNA from 1 species
AUUGAACGCUGGCGGCAGGCUUAACACAUGCAAGUCGAACGAGUGGCGUACGUGUGACUAAUGCUUGGGAAUCUUGCUUAUGGAUAGGGAUAGCUACGGGUAACUGUAGCUGCUACCGCGUACCAUAGGAUGAGCCCAAGUGGGAUUAGGUAGUUGUUGAGGUAAAGGCUUACCAAGCCGACGAUCUCUACCUGGUCUGAGAGGAUGACCAGCCACACUGGGACUGAGACACGGUCCAGACUCCUACGGGAGGCAGCAGGGGGGAAUAUUGCGCAAUGGGGGAAACCUGACGCAGCCAUGCCGCGUGAAUGAAGAAGGCCUUCGGAUUGUAAAGUUCUUUAGGUUGCGAGGCGUUAACUACAGAAGAAGCACCGGCUAACUCCGUGCCAGCAGCCGCGGUAAUAC